GGAUAAACGCCGGCGGCGUGCCUAAUACAUGCAAGUCGAACGAGGCUCUCGGAGCCGAGUGGCGUACGGGUGAGUAACACGUUGGUAACCUGCCCUCCAGACCGGAAUACCAGAGAGAAAUCUCUGCUAAUGCCGGAUGACGUCAUAUGGUCGCAAGACCACUUGACCAAAGGCGGCAACUGCCGCGCUGAAGGAUGGACCUGCGUCGCAUUAGCUAGUUGGCGGGAUAAUGGCCCACCAAGGCGAGGAUGCGUAGCCGAGCUGAGAGGCUAAACGGCCACAUUGGGACUGAGACACGGCCCAGACUCCUACGGGAGGCAGCAGUAGGGAGUAUUUGGCAAUGGGGGAAACCCUGACCGAGCAACGCCGCGUGUGUGAUGAAGGCCCUUCGGGUCGUAAAACACUGUGAUUCUCUGGGAAACUCAUGGGGAGUGGAAAGCCUCAUGACUGACCGGACUAUUAGAAAGCAACUGCUAACUACGUGCCAGCAGCAGC
rnacentral:rRNA from 1 species